GGAGAGGUGGCUGAGCGGUCGAAGGCGACGGUCUUGAAAACCGUAGUAUCUGAAAGGGUACCGUGAGUUCGAAUCUCACCCUCUCCGCCA
rnacentral:tRNA from 2 species